UGCAGUCGAACGGCAGCGCGGGAGCAAUCCUGGCGGCGAGUGGCGAACGGGUGAGUAAUACAUCGGAACGUGCCCAAUCGUGGGGGAUAACGCAGCGAAAGCUGUGCUAAUACCGCAUACGAUCUACGGAUGAAAGCAGGGGAUCGCAAGACCUUGCGCGAAUGGAGCGGCCGAUGGCAGAUUAGGUAGUUGGUGAGGUAAAGGCUCACCAAGCCUUCGAUCUGUAGCUGGUCUGAGAGGACGACCAGCCACACUGGGACUGAGACACGGCCCAGACUCCUACGGGAGGCAGCAGUGGGGAAUUUUGGACAAUGGGCGCAAGCCUGAUCCAGCCAUGCCGCGUGAGUGAAGAAGGCCUUCGGGUUGUAAACUGCUUUUGUACGGAACGAAACGGCCUUUUCUAAUAAAGAGGGCUAAUGACGGUACCGUAAGAAUAAGCACCGGCUAACUACGUGCCAGCAGCCGCGGUAAUACGUAGGUGCAAGCGUUAAUCGGAAUUACUGGGCGUAAGCGUGCGCAGGCGGUUAUGUAAGACAGUUGUGAAAUCCCCGGGCUCACCUGGGAACUGCAUCUGUGACUGCAUAGCUAGAGUACGUAGAGGGGGAUGGAAUUCCCGUGUAC
rnacentral:rRNA from 1 species